AUACGACCGCAAAAAAAAUUUUGUGGUCGUAUAUUGGUAUGACGUUGGCGUCGUCGUCGUCCGGCGUCGUCGUCGUCGUCGUCGUCCGAAGACACAUUGGUUUUCGCACUCUAACUUUAGUUUAAGUGAAUGGAUCUUUAUGAAAUUUUACCACAAGGUUCAAUACCACAAAAGGAAGGUUGGGAUUGAUUUUGGGGGUUAUGGUAAUAACAGUAAAGGAAUAAGGGGCCAAAAAGGGGCCAAAAAUAAGCAUUUUUGUAACUUCCAGACAUAACUUGUGUGUUAGUGUAUGGAUCUCUCUGACAUUGUACCACAAGGUUCCAUAUCACUAAAGGAAUGCUGGGAUUGAUUUUGGGGGUAAUUGCCUCCAAAUUUUAGGAAUUAGGGGCCAAAAAAGGGGCAAAAAACAAGCAUUUUUCUAGUUUCAUGACAAUAACUUGUGUGUAAGUGUAUGGAUCUUUCUGAAAUUGAACUACAAGGUUCCAUAUCACAAAGGGAAAGCUGGGUUUGAGUUUGGGGGUAAUUGCCCUAAACGUUUAGGAAUUUGGGGCCAAAAAGGGGCCAAAAAACAAGCAUUUUUCUAGUUUCCAGACAAUAACUUGUGUUCAAGUGUAUGGAUCUCUCUGAAAUUGUACUGCAAAGUACCAUACCACAAAGGGAAGGCUGGGAUUGAGUUUGAGGGUGAUGAAUCAUUAGGGGGUUCAAAAAAUUUGGGAGGAGGGAUUUUGUUUUCCUUUUUUUCCAUUUUUUUUCUUUAAAAUUUUCCAUUUUAAAUUGGUUAUUUCUGAUUUAUAUAUAAAAGCAAAUAAUAAUGAUAUGGUUUGAAUAGGUAAGUUUAAAAUUUAUAAGUUCUUAGACCACAUUCAUUCUGUGUCAGAAAUCUAUGCUGUGUCAAAUAUUUAAUCACAAUCAAAAGUCCGUAUGUAUCAAGCUUGAAUGUUGUGUCCAUACUGGCCCCAACUGUCAGGGUUCGACCCCUGCGGUCGUAUCAAGCUGCGCCCAGCGGAGCAUUUUAUUUAAAAUGGCCCUGGUUAACUUUAGACAUCAAUACACUUACAGAAUUUUAACCAUUGUUAUGUUAAGUUUAUAUUUGUGAGAUAUUAACUAAUAAUUAAACUUGUUUAUAUAAGCACAAUCUAACCUAUUUAAAUAAAAUUAUUUUUUAUAUA